ACACCCUCAACCCUUGUGGUUUGCCACAAUCGGCUUGGACUUUGGAGGUCUUGCUGGCUCCGGUCGGCUCCUCUCAAAUGAAUCAGCUCACCGGUGUUUGGUGGUGUUGCAGGUGUGAUAACUAUCUACGCUUGCAGUCAUCCUCCAUGCAACCCUCAGCGAUGAGGGUUCACUGGGGCUCAUAGAUGUCUCUCCUGAGCGAAGACAGCUCUUUGAAC
rnacentral:misc_RNA from 1 species